CGAGUUAUAUGGGUGUUUGAAAUUCAGACACUCUUAUAUUCUAUUGCGAGUUAUAUAUAUGGGUGUCUGAAUUUCAGACACUCUUAUACUCUAUUGCGAGCUAUAUGGCUGUCUGAAAUUCAGACACCCAUGCAUAUAACUCGCGCGCAAUAUAAUAUAAGAGUGUCCGAAAUUCGGACACCCGUAUAGCUCG
rnacentral:miRNA from 1 species